GUGAGGAAUAUUGGUCAAUGGACGAAAGUCUGAACCAGCCAUGCCGCGUGCAGGAAGAAUGCCCUAUGGGUUGUAAACUGCUUUUAUAUGGGAAGAAUCCUUCCGACGUGUCGGAAGUUGACGGUACCGUAUGAAUAAGCACCGGCUAACUCCGUGCCAGCAGCCGCGGUAAUACGGAGGGUGCAAGCGUUAUCCGGAUUUAUUGGGUUUAAAGGGUCCGUAGGCGGAAUUGUAAGUCAGUGGUGAAAGCCCACAGCUCAACUGUGGAACUGCCAUUGAUACUGCUUUUCUUGAAUAUAGUUGAAGUGAACGGAAUGUAACAUGUAGCGGUGAAAUGCAUAGAGAUGUUACAGAACACCAAUUGCGAAGGCAGUUCACUAAGCUAUUAUUGACGCUAAGGGACGAAAGCGUGGGUAGCGAACAGGAUUAGAAACCCUAGUAGUCC
rnacentral:rRNA from 1 species